rnacentral:rRNA from 1 species
GAUGAACGCUGGCGGCGUGCCUAAUACAUGCAAGUAGAACGCUGAAGGAGGAGCUUGCUCUUCUGGAUGAGUUGCGAACGGGUGAGUAACGCGUAGGUAACCUGCCUGGUAGCGGGGGAUAACUAUUGGAAACGAUAGCUAAUACCGCAUGACAACAGUUAUUGCAUGAUAACUGUUUAAAAGGGGCAACUGCUCCACUACCAGAUGGACCUGCGUUGUAUUAGCUAGUUGGUGAGGUAACGGCUCACCAAGGCGACGAUACAUAGCCGACCUGAGAGGGUGAUCGGCCACACUGGGACUGAGACACGGCCCAGACUCCUACGGGAGGCAGCAGUAGGGAAUCUUCGGCAAUGGACGGAAGUCUGACCGAGCAACGCCGCGUGAGUGAAGAAGGUUCUCGGAUCGUAAAGCUCUGUUGUAAGAGAAGAACGAGUGUGAGAGUGGAAAGUUCACACUGUGACGGUAUCUUACCAGAAAGGGACGGCUAACUACGUG